rnacentral:rRNA from 1 species
GACGAACGCUGGCGGCGUGCUUAACCCAUGCAAGUCGAACGGAAAGGCCCUGCUUUUGUGGGGUGCUCGAGUGGCGAACGGGUGAGUAACACGUGAGUAACCUGCCCUUGACUUUGGGAUAACUUCAGGAAACUGGGGCUAAUACCGGAUAGGAGCUCCUGCUGCAUGGUGGGGGUUGGAAAGUUUCGGCGGUUGGGGAUGGACUCGCGGCUUAUCAGCUUGUUGGUGGGGUAGUGGCUUACCAAGGCUUUGACGGGUAGCCGGCCUGAGAGGGUGACCGGCCACAUUGGGACUGAGAUACGGCCCAGACUCCUACGGGAGGCAGCAGUGGGGAAUAUUGCACAAUGGGCGGAAGCCUGAUGCAGCAACGCCGCGUGCGGGAUGACGGCCUUCGGGUUGUAAACCGCUUUCGCCUGUGAAGAAGCGAGAGUGACGGUAAUGGGUAAAGAAGCACCGGCUAACUACGUG